CCUACGGGCGGCAGCAGUGAGGAAUAUUUGUCAAUGGACGCAAGUCUGAACCAGCCAUGCCGCGUGCAGGAAGACUGCCCUAUGGGUUGUAAACCUCUUUUGUCAGGGAGCAACGCCGGCUACGUGUAGCCGGACUGAGAGUACCUGAAGACAAAGCAUCGGCUAACUCCGUACCAGCAGCCGCGGUAGUACGGGGGAUGCUAGCGUUAUCCGGAUUUAUUGGGUUUAAGGGGUGCGUAGGCGGAAUGCCAAGCCAGCGGUAACAUCGCGGGGCUCAACCUCGCUCCGCCGUUGAAACUGGCGUUCUUGAGUGGGCGAGAAGUAUGCGGAAUGCGCGGUGUAGCGGUGAAAUGCAUAGAUAUCACGCAGAACUCCGAUUGCGAAGGCAGCAUACCGGCGCCCAACUGACGCUGAAGCACGAAAGCGUGGGUAUCGAACAGGAUUAGAUACCCUUGUAGUC
rnacentral:rRNA from 1 species